GAAUAUUAGUCAAUGCUCGAAAGAGUGAACUAGCUAACUGAAAUCAAUUACAAAAAUUGAUAACAUAAGGGAAAAUAAUGAUAUUACCUUAUUAUUAGUGUCGUCCAAAACUGGUGCCAGAAGACUCGGUAAGGCCAGAGACAUAAACGUUAAUCGUCUUAAUCAGGCGUAAAGGGUUUGUAGGCGGCUUUUAAUUAAUUUAUAAUAAAAUUCAAAAAUAAAAUAAAUUAAGAAUAAAAGCUAGAAUCAAAUAGAGGAUAUAUCAAAUAAUGCUUAGAGUAGGUCUGAUAUCCUUAAAUACUAAGUAGAAUAUUAAAGGCGAAAGCUUUUUUCCAUUAAUGAUUGACGCUCAGAAACGAAGGUGAGGAUAGGAAAUAGGAUUAGAUACCCAAAAUACCCCUCUCUGUCAACGAUGAAUGGUAAUUAUUAGUAAUUAAUUUAUUAAUGAUAAUGUUAACACGAUAACCAUUCCGCCUUGUGAGUACAACUGCAAAGUUGAAAACAAAAAAAUUAGUCGGUUUCGGAGCAAACGAAGUGAAGCAUGUUAUUUAAUUC
rnacentral:rRNA from 1 species